rnacentral:lncRNA from 1 species
CCGACAAAUACUAAAUAUUGCUAGAGCACUUAAAUUCUAAAGUAGCCUUGAGCUAAACUAUUAGACUGACUUUAUCCUUAUAGCAGUUUACCUUACCAAUAAAAUACUCUUCUCUGUAAUUAAUCAUAAGAUUCCCUUUGAAAAACUUUUUCAAAGACAACUAAACUAACUAACUAGACAACUAAGCUUAACCCUAGAAAAAGAAAA